rnacentral:rRNA from 1 species
GAUGAACGCUGGCGGCGUGCCUAAUACAUGCAAGUCGAGCGAACGGACGAGAAGCUUGCUUUUCUGAUGUUAGCGGCGGACGGGUGAGUAACACGUGGAUAACCUACCUAUAAGACUGGGAUAACUUCGGGAAACCGGAGCUAAUACCGGAUAAUAUUUUGAACCGCAUGGUUCAAAAGUGAAAGACGGUCUUGCUGUCACUUAUAGAUGGAUCCGCGCUGCAUUAGCUAGUUGGUAAGGUAACGGCUUACCAAGGCAACGAUGCAUAGCCGACCUGAGAGGGGGGUCGGCCACCAGAGACGGGGAACGGGCCCAAGCCUCCUACGGGAGGCAGCAGAAGGAAAUCUUCGGCAGGGGGCGAAAACCUGACGGAACGGCUCCGAGUGGGUGAUAGAGGUUUUGGGAGCGUAAGCCUCUUUUAUGGGGGAAAAACAUAUGUAUAAGUAGCUGUGCACUUCUUGACGGUCACUAAUAAAAAAGCACCGGCUAACUACGUG